CGGAGGUACUCGAGUGGCGAACGGGUGAGUAACACGUGAGUAACCUGCCCUUGACUUUGGGAUAACUUCAGGAAACUGGGGCUAAUACCGGAUAGGAGCUCCUGCUGCAUGGUGGGGGUUGGAAAGUUUCGGCGGUUGGGGAUGGACUCGCGGCUUAUCAGCUUGUUGGUGGGGUAGUGGCUUACCAAGGCUUUGACGGGUAGCCGGCCUGAGAGGGUGACAGGCCACAUUGGGACUGAGAUACGGCCCAG
rnacentral:rRNA from 1 species